rnacentral:lncRNA from 1 species
CUGGCAUGUUCUCUUCUCUCGUCUCCUUUUUUAUAUUCAUUCUCGUUGGCCAGGCUUCCUGUCAUCUUCUCUCUCAUCAGCUGCAGAUCCCGAGAUCUCCGGGUGUUUCUCCGUCGAAUAAUCUGUUCCGAUUAUUCCGGAAGAUAUUCCUUCAAUUUGGGCUUCUCAACUCUAAGCACAUCUUCGAUCUCGAUCCAUCAAUUCGAAUUCGUUAUCACUCUAAAUAUUGAUAUAUUUUUGAUCAGGCUCGAGGUCGAGAUCCGAUUCUUUUCUAAACAUGGAACGGGCCCACGCCGUUAUUGGGCCAUGUCGAGAUUUGUGUCCAACACAUAUAUCUAUAAUAUGCAUAUCUUAAUUAUCUUUUUUUUUUUUUUUUUUUUUUUUUUUUUUUUUUUUUUUUUUUUUUUUUUUUUUUUUUUUUUUUUUUUUUUUUUUUUUUUUUUUUUUUUUUUUUUUUUUUUUUUUUUUUUUUUUUUUUUUUUUUUUUUUUUUGAAUGAAUGCUAAAUUUUAUUCAUCAAAAACCUUUUUACAUCAAGUGAGACUUUAUAUGAAAAGAAGACUACUCCUAUUUCUUUACACUUCCUUUACUAGAGAACCAAAAUUUCUACCUGAAAUCUGUAUUUACAUCCUAGUACCAAACCAGUAUUGCAGACUCACUUCAAGCCCUCCUAUUCCCUUCGACUGUACCAAGCUGAGUUUGUUUCUGAUGGCUUUGUCGAUGUGUUUUGUCAAGACAGUAGCAGGCAUAGACUGUUCACCAUGCCGUCUUCUGUUUCUCUCUCUCCACAACAUGUAGACAGUAGCUUGAAGAGUGUACCUGAAACAAAACUGUUUCUUCUUCAUAUCUUAAUUAUCAAUAUUAAAAAGAUAAGGGUUUCUACAAAUGAUAGCACUCC